CCUACGGGAGGCAGCAGUAGGGAAUCUUCCGCAAUGGACGAAAGUCUGACGGAGCAACGCCGCGUGAGUGAAGAAGGUUUUCGGAUCGUAAAACUCUGUUGUCAGAGAAGAACAAGUUGGAGAGUAACUGCUCCAGCCUUGGCGGUAUCUGACCAGAAAGCCACGGCUAACUACGUGCCAGCAGCCGCGGUAAU
rnacentral:rRNA from 1 species